UACGUAGGGUCCAAGCGUUAAUCGGAAUUACUGGGCGUAAAGCGUGCGCAGGCGGUUCUGAAAGUCAGCUGUGAAAGCCCCGGGCUUAACCUGGGAAUGGCGGUUGAAACUACAGGACUAGAAUCUGGCAGAGGGGGGUGGAAUUCCACGUGUAGCAGUGAAAUGCGUAGAUAUGUGGAGGAAUACCGAUGGCGAAGGCAGCCCCCUGGGAUAACACUGACGCUCAUGCACGAAAGCGUGGGGAGCAAACAGG
rnacentral:rRNA from 1 species